GUAUUUAGAUUAUGACUCUCACGCUUUCAAAGGCGUUCAAGCUUGAUCACGUUCUAUGAUUUGAUUGGGGUAUGUAGUAGUUACGUAGAGGAGCUUACGCUCCCCUACAGAUGGUUCACAGGUGUUUGUUAAAGUCCAGGAGCGUGCACAUGCCCUCUCGGGCCAGCACAGCUCCCUUCGUUUGAAUUCGUUAAUGAUCCUUCCGCAGGUUCACCUACGGAAA
rnacentral:misc_RNA from 1 species